rnacentral:rRNA from 1 species
UACGUAGGGAGCAAGCGUUGUCCGGAAUCAUUGGGCGUAAAGAGCGUGUAGGCGGUUUGCUAAGUCUGGUGUGAAAUCUUUCGGCUCAACCGGAAGCGGUCACUGGAAACUGGCAGACUUGAAUCUGGAAGAGGAGUGUGGAAUUCCUGGUGUAGCGGUGGAAUGCGCAGAUAUCAGGAGGAACACCUAUGGCGAAGGCAGCACUCUGGUACAUGAUUGACGCUGAGACGCGAAAGCAUGGGGAGCAAACAGG